rnacentral:lncRNA from 1 species
GAGCACUGUCAUGCCUUUGGGGAUUUUGACGGGGUAGCCAUCGACGAAGACCUCGAUGGCGUCAUCGGGUUUGGAGAAAUGAAUCCUAGCACCGGCGACAGGGGUCCGAGGAGGGAGAUCUGGUGGGGAAUCGGGCUGCGCUGUUGCCGCUUCUGGGUUUUUGAGCUCGGGCGUGGAGGUGAUGGUUCUGGUUAUAGGAUUUUGGGAAGCCAAAACCCUAGAGGAUCUGUGGAGAAUGGCGGGUCUCAGGGCUCUCGAAGCUAUCAACCCUAACCCCAUUUCUUUGGCUUUCUGUG